rnacentral:lncRNA from 1 species
AUUUUAAACUAAUAAUGCAUUUUUAUACUGGACUCACCCAUCAGAAAAUAACAGUGAAUUUAAUAUAAUUCCAAUGAAUUUAUCACAUACCUAAAAAUAUUACAUAUAUUUAACCCCCCUCUCCCGGUUAAUGCUCUGGGGCAUACAUGUCAUUUAAUUCCACUUUUGAAUGGUAGAUGUUCUUUCACACUGGCAAGGAAAUCAGUCUUGAAGGAAAAAAAUUUAAAAAAUGCCAUGUCUGUUAGCAGAGUAAUACGUUUUAAUUUUUUUGGAGACUGGGACUACAAAUAAAUCAACAAAGGAAGGGAAUGUAUAAUGCUUUUUCCCAAUGUUGCACUUUUUCCUUCUUUUACAAUUUGUUCAGAAUCUCAACCCAGUGACCUGGAGCCAGCAGACUGUGCCAGCAGGCAGGUGACAUCAUGUAUUCAGGGAUAACCUGGAGCUAGGAUUCAAUGGAGGUCAGAUCCAGGGGCAGUGCCUUCUGUCAUACAGCUGUUACAUGAGGGAGAUGUUCCUGCUUAUUACACAGGGCGGUUUGAGGAGUAGUCAGGCCCCAUGCUAUAGCUUGUAUUCUUGUAGAGGCUGAUCAGCAUUAAGAACUGAGAAACGUGCAGUCAGAUACAUAAGGCAUGUCUGGGGCAACGUUCGAAACUUGGAGUAAUCUACACGAACGUUCCAUUGUUUCCAUGGUGACUGCCCCACGUUUAGAAUGUUACAGAGCUGGUAUUUAUAAACAGUAUUUAUAAACAAGCCCUAAUAUUUAUCACCUCCCUGCCUUCUAUAAGUGGACAGCAAUUUACAAAAAUGUACUUAAAUUAGCUUUAUGUAGGAGAAAAGCCUUAAAACUGACUAUAGUCCACAUGAUUUUCAGAAUACUAUAGCUUGCUUUUUAGUAACAAACCCUUCAUAUUCAGAACCAGUUGCACACUAAUUAUUAAAUACAAUGGGGAAAAAAACCCAACUUUACCUUAUUUGCACCAAUCCUUUGAGUCUGUGUAUAAGAGUGAUGCUUGGCUAGUUAACUUGUGAAAUGCCAGCGGGUCCUAUAAUGUUCUUAGUACUAGUAGUUGCAAAUUACCAGAUGCUAAGCCCGUUUAUUAGAUCAGUCACACAAAGAAACCAAAAAUGAAGGGUUAUUAGCAGGCUGGGUUGUUUACCUCCCUCGACGUUUCUAUUUUUUCUGCAAUUUCAGAAACGUGCAUUUCUGAAGCCUAUAGAAGCCAGUGACCCCAGCCCUGGGUGUUGUGCCAAAUAUGUGUCUUUUUCUCAGUGAAAGGGUGGGGGGCCUUACCCAGCAGCUAAAUGUGAAAUCAAAGAUCUGUGAGAGGUAGAGGAGAAUGGCCAGCAAUAACCCAAACUGCGAUCUGUAAUUGUCCCUUGGGGGGAGGGGGGUUUCUUAAUUAUUUUAUUUUAUUAUAGUGUAUAUACGUGGCUUAUCUUAUUGCUGUAAAAAUAUGUUUGUAUUUUAUAAUGAACACAUAAAUAUUUCAGCUAAUUAUUGACCUAAAAGUGGUCUACUGAUUUUUGUUUAUUAAUCCUUUUGAGUUCUUUAACCCAUUGUACAUUCCAUUAGACCUGAGAGAGUGAAUCGCAGAGGGGAAUAUCGCCUAAACCAUGAAUAGUGGGCAUUUACUAUGUGAGGCCAAAAUAGCUAAGAUGGAAAAAAUAUCCAAAAAUUUCAGAUUCCCUAAUUAUUAAUAAUAAUCGCCACCAUUUCUAAUUUAGGGAGGGGGGGUAGGUAUAAAAGUACCGAAUUCUGAAAAGUGGUCUAAGGUAUUGAAAGUGGGUCAAUCACUUGGAAACCAGUGGAACCAGUAGGGAAAUUCAGUGACUACACCUGUUCUACAUCUUUAGAACACUCCCCAGAACAGAACACGUUUAUACAGAACCUCCACUGACCCCUCCAAAGAAUUUAACUCUGAUUGCUAGUAUUGUAGAACCAUCAAAACUUCAAAUUUCCUAUCUCCCCCUCAAAUGAUCAUUUAUGCAAUGAGAACAAAAUACAAGAUAGGGUAGAGUAUGAGAUUGACAUAAAACAAAAAAAAUCCAAUAAAUGAGUUAAGAUGCACAAAAUCACUGAUUAUUAUUUCACAACAAUAAUUAAUGCUACGUUUGCCUAACUUUCAUAUAAUUAUUCAAUCCCAUCCAGGUAACUGUAUUCCUUAAUAAAUAAUAUAACGAGCGAUGUUCAUUGGCAUUAACCCUUAAAGGCAAGAACUAAGCAUGGUAUUUCCUUGGCUUUUACUAGGUUAAAUUAAUGGUCUACUAAUUUUAUAAACGCAAGGCAGAAAGAAAGGCAGUUUGUUAUUUCUUUAUAUCAAAACUCAAAAAAUACAUGUAAGAAAUAUAUAUAUAUAAUUUUUACCAUUUCAGUGCCAGAAAGGCAAUCAGUGCAUGUCGUAGAAGCUACAGCAUCUAUUCCCCAAUUUUAAAUGAUAUAUAUAUUGCUUUAAAAAUCAAGAAUGUUUAAGAAAGUCAAUUACAAAUCCAAGCUCUAAACUAAACGCUUGUUUUCUUGCAUACUCGGUCACAGACUCUAAAAAUAAAUGGAUCAUUAAAAAAAGCCAUAGAAAGUAAAAUUAAAUUUAAAAGUAUCCUACGCAGUGCAAAAAUAUCAUACAGAGUAGACUCACUUAAUAAAAAACACGGUUAUUUUUUUUAACUCUUCAGUGCCAGAGAUAUAUCUCAUAUCUAACUCCAACUAGUACACAGUGGCUUUGAAUACGUGUAAUCCUUGCAUGUGAGUCACAGGAAGAAUAUUAUAAACUUUCUAUCAAACCUAUUUUUCUGACAUGUUUAUUUAUUUAUAUAUUAAAAAAAAUACAAAAAGAGAAAAAAAACGUUGAAAGCAGCCUUUUGAUAUAAUUUUGGAAUGUUAUGAUACAACCGCAGUAAAAGCCUUGGGGAAUAAUAUCUAUUUUGUAAACAGAUCUCUCUUCAUGAUUCGAAUUUGCCCUGUUUGGUGUUUACCAGCUUCUAGGUGGAUACAAUGUUUCAAUAGAACAAUACUUUGUUAGCAGCCCUGGAACGUGUACACAAUUAAUAAGACUUGAGGGUGUGAAUGCAUUGUAUGUAAUUCGAUGUUUAAACAGAUUGUACAUAUUAAAAUGUAAAUUAAAAUGUAAACUUCAUAUUUUCUCCGUAUUCUACAUAGUGGUAUAUAUAUUUGUCAAUUAAACUUUUCCU